UAGUUGGAUUCGGGUAGGGGGCGCCGGUCCGCUUCGGUGUGCACUGGCGGCCCAUACCUUCUUGUCGGGGAUGCGCUCUGGUAUUGAUUUAUCGGACGCAGAGUCGGCGCAGUUACUUUGAAAAAAUUAGAGUGUUCAAAGCAGGCUUUCGCUUGAAUACAUUAGCAUGGAAUAACAUGAUAGGACUCCGGUUCCAUUGUGUUGGUCUUCGGGACUGGAGUAAUGAUUAAGAGGGACAGUUGGGGGCAUUCGUAUUUCAUUGUCAGAGGUGAAAUUCUUGGAUUUAUGAAAGACGAACUUCUGCGAAAGCAUUUGCCAAGGAUGUUUUCAUUAAUCAAGAACGAAAGUUGGGGGCUCGAAGAUGAUUAGAUACCAUCGUAGUCUCAACCAUAAACGAUGCCGACUAGGGAUUGGCGGAUGUUACUUGAUGACUUCGCCAGCACCUUGUGAGAAAUCAAAGUCUUUGGGUUCCGGGGGGAGUAUGGUCGCAAGGCUGAAACUUAAAGGAAUUGACGGAAGGGCACCACCAUGGCGUGGAGCCUGCGGCUUAAUUUGACUCAACACGGGGAAACUUACCAGGUCCAGACACAAUAAUGAUUGACAGAUUGAUAGCUCUUUCUUGAUUCUGUGGGUGGUGGUGCAUGGC
rnacentral:rRNA from 1 species